AUCUGUUCUUAUCAGUUUAAUAUCUGAUACGUCCCCUACCCGGGGACCAUAUAUUAAAUUGAUUUUUUGGAUCAGGGAGCCGGAACGGGGGCUUGCUCCUUCCACUCCACGCAUCGACCCGGUAUUGCAUUACCUCCAGGUACGGUGC
rnacentral:snRNA from 1 species